UUCAAUUUUUUCUGUGAACUCCCAAAAGUAGCGUGAGAGUUACCGUUGAUUAUAUUCACAAAUUAGAAAACACGGAGAGAGAGAGAUGAGAUUUCGCGCGGCAUUUAGGGUUUGUGAGAGCAGGGACAGAGCACCAUUUCUGCUUCAACCUCAAGCUUCGCGUUCCUUCUCUCAGCUUCCAUUAUUUAAACCCCCAACGAAAUGAAGAAGGCACAGUUUGUCACUAUACAAAAUGCAAAGUUGUAGUAGAGAGUUAAAGAAUUGGAGAAGCAAGAGGCCCAAAUUGAUCUGGAGGAAAAUUUUACUCAUUGAGAGGGAGAAGAACUUCGUCUGCCAUUUACUUGAUGAUAGUUGUUGUGAGCCAACUCCAACAAUAGCUUUACAUUAAGCUAGCAUCGUAACUGCUAUGGUUGAAAGCUCAAAGCUCUACAAAACACAACUAUAUAUCAACCAUCCAAAUUUAUGCCCCGAGAAAAGAACUGGAGGAAAAAGUGGAUGAGUUGCAAUCCAUGGACACCCUUAACCAAACUCUGAUACUUAAGGAGCACAGGAGUAACCUUGAGCUGCAACAUGCUCGCAAAGAAUUGAUAAAUGGUUUGCAAGAUAUUUGGAAUGACCAAGACCUUUUUGGAAUCAAAAGAAUGGGCGAGGUUAAUGAGAAACCAUUUAAAGGUGUGCGCUUCAAAAAAUUCCCUAAUGAUUGGGAUCUAAAAUCAGCAGAGCUAAUUUCACUGUGGCAAGCCAAUGUUAGUAAUCCAAUGUGGCAUCCUUUCAAAGCAGAAUUUGUUGAUGGAAAAUUGCAGGCAGGAAGUAAUAGAUAAAUGUGAUAGUAAGCUAAAGGAGUUGAGGAGUGUAUGGGGAGAGGAAGUGUACAAGGCUGUAGCAGAUUCAUUGCUGGAAUUGAAUGACUACAACUCAAGUGGGAGGUAUGUAGUUCCUGAACUUUGGAAUUUCAAUGAGGGAAGAAAAGCCAGUCUGAAAGAGGUAAUUAACAACAUGAUCGAAGAGUUGAAGACGCUCAAAGUCUCUUAAGGGUAGAAGAUGAUGACAAUGAUAUCUAGUCUAGCAGUGGUAUUGUGUUGGACUCUGGUGAUGGUGUCAGUCAUACAAUUCCCAUAUAUGAGGGGUAUGCCCUCCCACAUGCCAUUCUUUGUCUAGACCUGGCUGGCCAUGACCUCACAGAUCACUUGAAGAAAAUUCUUACGGAGCGUGGUAAUUCUUUCACCACCACAGCCUAGCGGGAAAUUGUGAGGGACAUGAACGAAAAGCUGGCUUACAUUGCCCUUGACUACGAGCAGGAGAUUGAGACUUCCAAGACCCUCUCUUCAGUUGAGAAGAGCUAUGAGUUACCAGAUGGGCAGGUCAUCACCAUUGGUGCUGAGCGGUUCUGAUGCCCUGAGGUUCUAUUCCAACCAUCCAUGAUAGGAAUGGAAGCAACAGGCAUUCAUGAGACCACAUAUAACUCCAUCAUGAAGUGUGAUGUUGAUAUCAGGAAGGACCCGUUUGGAAACACUGUCCUCUCAGGUGGUUCAACCAUGUUCCUAGGCAUUGCUGAUAGAAUGAGCAAGGAAUCUGCACUAGCCCCCAAGCAGUAUGAAGGUCAAGGUGGUGGCUCCACCCGGGAGGAAGUACAGUGUCUGGAUUGGAGGAUCUAUCUUGGCAUCACUUAGCACCUUCCAGUAGAUGUGGAUCGCAAAGGCGGAGUAUGAUGAAUCUGGGCCAUGAAUUGUGCAUAGGAAAAUGCUUCUAUAAAUGUUCGAGAAUAGGAUCUUUGAAGAAACAAAGUUCUGUUUUUAUUUCUUAGAACAAAGUGGUGCUUGCAACUCUUUGUUCUAGCUUUGUUAUCACUUUAUGUUAUUCGCAUGUUGGAGUGAUGACUAUUUUUUGGAAGGUGAGGAGUUGAAUUUGAAAA